rnacentral:tRNA from 1 species
UUUGAUUUGGCAGAUUAUGUGUUAGUUUUAAGAAUUAAUUAAGUUAAAAACAAUUAAAA